rnacentral:rRNA from 1 species
GACGAACGCUGGCGGCGUGCUUAACACAUGCAAGUCGAACGAAGUGGCGAACGGGUGAGUAACGCGUAAUCAACCUGCCCUUCAGAGGGGGCCAACAGUUGGAAACGACUGCUAAUACCGCAUACGGAAGGAGGGGAUUGCGUCUGAUUGGCUAGUUGGAGGGGUAACGGCCCACCAAGCCGAUGAACAGGAGCCGGUCUUAUAGAUGGAACGGCCACACUGGGACUGAGACACGGCCUAGACUCCUACGGUAGGCAGCAGUGGUGAAUCUUCCGCAAUCGACGAAAGUCUGACGGAGCAACGCCGCGUGACUGAUGACGGCCUUCGGGUUGUAAAGCUCUGUUAAUCGGGACGCGGUACCGGAAUAGAAAGCCACAGCUAACUACGUGCCAGCCGCCGCGGUAAUAC